ACCCACAUCUUUUUGUUCACGACUCCCUUCCUCCAUCUUCAAAACCUGCAAAGCAGCAUCUUCAAACCUCUCUCUCUCUCCCUCUGCGUCCUUCUGUCAGACUCUGACCCUCUGCAUCCCUCUUAGAAGGGCCUUGUGAUGACAUCAGUCCCACCAGGAUAACCCAGGAUAAUCUCUCCAUCUCAAGAUCCUUACCUCGAUCACAUCUGCGAAGUCCCAUCUGCCUUAUAAGGAAGAUUAGCCCUGAGCUACCUGCUGCCAAUCCUCUUUUUGCUGAGGAAGACUGGCCCUGAGCUAACAUCCGUGUGCAUCCUCCUCUACUUUAUACGAGGGAUGUCUGCUACAGCAUGGCUUGCCAAGCGGUGCCAUGUCCACAUCCAGGAUCCAAGCCAGUGAACCCCGGGCCGCCGAAGCGGAACAUGCGCACCUAACUGCUGAGCCACCGGGCUGGCCCUUACUGGGGAUUUUUAAAACUUAAAUUCCGUGUUCUCAUUUUAAUUAGACAGUCAGUAACUCUGUGAGGUCAAGAAAACCUUUCUUCCACUGUCCUACUCUGAUGUGGUCAACACUGGAGACUUAGAAACCAGUCUCCUCUGCCUCCCACAGUUACCAGCAUGGAAAUAUGACCACAAUAAAUCGGCAAGAGGGAAUAAAAAGUGAUUCACCAAUCAUUACAUACAAUAUAAUCACACUUUUAUAAAAGGAUAAAAAAGUUUAUCCCCAUGUGUAUAGAAAAAUGUCCAGAAAAGCACGCAUUAAAGGGUCAAGAGGGUUGUUCUGAGUGGUGGGUGUAGACUUCCAUUUACCUUGCCACUAUUUUACUAAAAUGUAUUAAAUUCUCACCCUAAAUCUGAGACACUCUGCUAGACACCCACACUUUUCGGUUUUAUCUAGUAAUUUGCUCUAUGCGUCUUUCCUUACGAUUAGCUUGUAUUUUUUUAAUCAGAGCAGGAAAAGGGGGAGCUGUCUCUUCAUUGACAAAUGAAGUACUUAGCACAUAGUACUUAGAACCUGGUGGGUGCUAGGUAAUGGUGGCCAUUACUUUACCAUUCUGUGAAUCUUGGGUCUUCAUCUGCCGUAACUUCUUGAGCAACCAUUGUGACAACAGCAGCAAUGACAGCAAGUAUUUAUAUAGAGUGUUGAUUACGUGCCACGCUGUUCUGAUAUCCAUCGCAUGUGGGCCUCACGAGAGCUAUGAGGUGACUAUUAUUCCCAUUUUACACAUCAGAAAAUGGAGGCAGAAGUACAGUGGCUGCACCAUGGGCCGCCUCCCUCCACCCCCAGCCCAGCCUGGGACUCAGAGCAAUUUUCUUCACCUUCUCUACCCCAGCACCUGCUCUGAUGGGAACAACAGAAAUAGAUGCACAUACACGCACAUGCACACACACACACCCAGAAAUGGAUGGGGUGGGGCUGGCCUGGGUUGUUGUUGGUGACUCAGUCGGUCAGAGGAAAAGGCAGCGUAAUGCAGACAAAUACAAGAUAAUAAGUCUGGAGCCAAUGAACCGAAAGAUAGGGAGAGCACAUCUUAAUAAAGAGUCACGAGUCCCUCCAGCCUGGAAAGGGAUUUAGAGGUUACUGUGGAAAAAAAAAAUUUUUUUGAAGUCGUCAGCACCUUGUACUGCCAGAGUAAACUUGGGAAUCCGGGGGUCCCUGUGUCCACCCUGUGCUCUCCUCUCCCACGGAGGGAAGCCAGCAGUGGGUGGGUCUGGUCCUUCCGUCCUGUUGGGGCCUGGCCGGGAGCAGGGGGGGUCCUUUUUCUGCUGUGGGCGAAUGCUGAUACUGUGUGCAAAGCGGGCUGCUGAGUUUGAAUGAUGGGAUCGUGUACGUGGGCACAGUCACAAGGGCUGGGGUGCGGGAAAAGACGAGCUGCGGGCUCUCAGAGUAAGGGGGCUCAUGGUGGCUGGAGAACCUGGGAAGGAAGGUGAAACGGGAGUGACUUGCAGAUGGUUGGGGUGAAUGGAUGCGUCUCAAGGGCUAAGACUGGAAGGACUCAGACAAACAGGACAGCUGACAGCCAGAGGGAAGUCUACCAAGGCAGCAGUGUGUAUUUCCAUGCUUCGUUCCCAAGACGCACGAUGCUUUAAGUAGCCAUGUUGAGACAACCUGAGGUCUGGGGGAAAGUAGACUCUGACGCCAAACACACCAGCUUUGGGUCGUAUCCUUCCCGCUGAAUUCCUGAGUCAAUGGAAUUGAUGCCUUGCUGCUCAGAGCCUCAGUCCCCUCAUCUCUAAAAAGGGGACCAGAUUGGUGGCUGAGAGGAGAUGAUGUGUCUGCUCGAGCCAAGCCUUCCACUGGCCCCGCUGGACUUCAGACGCAUGCAGCCAUGCCUGCUGAACUGGUGGGGAGGGCGGGUGGAAGAUGACUCAGGGGCAGGAUGGUGUAGAAAAGCUUCCCAGGAGGCAGGGCAAAAAGGGUCAGCUGCAGCAAAUAAUCCAGGGACAGCGGCUCUGUGCUUGGGGGCAGUAGAGAACUGAGCACAGUGUGAUGCUCGUGGCUGAAACCACACCAGCGGGCAUUUCUGAGCCCAAAGAGCAGACCGAGAUAAUAUCAACAGCAAUAACAACAGUUAGUUCACUCUUCACACUUUAAAGGUGGAUAUUAUUAUCCUCAUUUUACAGAUGAGGAAACUGAGGCACAGAGAGGUUAAGUAAUUUACGUCAGGUCACCCACCCAGUAAGUGGCAGAGCUGGGAUUCAAACCGAGGUCCCCUGGCUAAAUUGCACAUGCUCUUAACCACUGCACAUAUAUGGCUCCACUGUUAGAAAUAAAACCUCGGUAUCAAAAUGAGACUGAGAAGCAAGAACAACUCUCUCCUAGACCACGAGCUAGCUUUGGCAUCUAAAGGCUUAGGAGGGCAACCAUCAGAGGGACUCUUUGGGGCCCAAAGGGGAGGCAGAGCCACCAGGGGAGGAGAACCCUACGGCAGGAAGGACUGGUGCCCAGCAGAGCAGCAGCGGCACGCAUGAAAACUAAAGGAGGGAGUGCAUCCUCGAGGAAUCUUCAGAGACCACGGGGCGUCAGAGCUGCCUGAGGAGAAAUUUGCAUGAGGCCAAGACUGCCCAGGUAAGCACGUGGGGCCGGGGGUGCUGGGGUAUUUGGAUCGUCCAGACUGGCCAGCUUGCAAGAAACUGUAACUAUUUCCGUCUUUUUUGUGCCUUGUUACAGAGGGGCAAGAUGCAAUCUUCUUGGAGAGGGAACAGGGCUGGGGAAGUCCAUUUGCCUCUGAUUUCAAGAAUGCUUCUCUAAGGGAAAGGAGGGUUCAGGAUGCUUCGAGCAGGGGAGAGAUUUCAAGAUGCUCCACGACAGACCUAGGUCCUGAUGGUCUUCGUCAGCAUCCCCAUUUUACAGAUGAGGCAACUGAGGCCUGGAAAAAAUGGAGGUGACAGAACCCCCCUCAGAGGGCUUGGUGAGGACCCGCUGGGAUGAGGCAGGAGAACCUCCGUGCCCGCUGCUGCCUCAGUGAAGUACACACUUGCUACUGUUGUUCACGCUGACGAUCGCCUCCUGGGCAGUGGUGGUGCAGAGAAGAACCAGAGCAGCUGGCAACUCUUCCUCUUGGGGAAAGGAAGGAAGGAGAGGAGGGAGGGACAGAUGAAAACAUCCUGGUUUCCCCUGGACUGAGGGGUUUCCUCGUAUAUGUGACUUUCAGUGGUAAAACCAGGAACGUCCCAGGCAAAUGGGGCUGAUUAGUCACCCUAAAGAAAGGUCUAAUGGAGCACUAUUUAAUUCUUCAAAGAAAAAAUUAAUCAAAAAGAAAACAAAGAAAUAGAUUCAUGCUGCAGCAAGACUGACGGAGGUUAGAUCUCACACAGGACUUCCUGGCUGCUAAACAAAAGGCAAAGUUUGGGCAGGUCCUUUAGUGACACAGAAGGAAGCUCAGAGCCCAGGAGGGAGCCAGGAGCAAUUCUGAGCAUCCCUCUUGGGCUGCUGGUUGCUCCCUGUGACAGAUUCGGCUCGGUCUCUCCUCACCUGUAACCAUCAUUCGUGACAGAGCCAGCAGCACGUUUCCAAAUUCCAGCCAUCAGAGGCGUAUGGAGGAUGCUCAGCCCCAUUCUGACCGAGCAGUCGAGGGGAAGGCCUCUGCUUGGUGGCACCCAGCCUAAUCUCAGAGACAGUGUUCUGAUAGAGAGACUCAUGAUGGCCAUCUGGGCCGCAGACACAGGGCCUUAACUUCCAAUUCUGAGAGGCCUGGGGCAUGCGCCUCUUCCCUGCCAAAUCGUGCUAGGUCUUCCAUCCGGCAGAUUUACAGCAUAUUAACUGCAAAUGAAUGUCACGGCACAUCUCUGUGCUUCAGAGGAAACGAAGGCAGUUCUGAAGAGGAGGCUGCAGGACUCAGGCGGUCCUGGACCGUUUGCUAACCUGCUGAGACACACAGGGUGGGGCGGGGGCAAGGACGACCCUGCAGCCACUGUCUACAGAAGGUGCUGAAACGUGCAGGGCUCCCUGGAUGAGUCGGGUUUCUCCAGAGAAACACAACCAACAGAAGGAGAUUCAUUCUAAGGAACUGGUUCAUGCAGUUGCAGAGACUGAGAAAUCCCAGGAUCUGCCAUCUACAAGCUGGAGACCAGGAGAGCUGGUGGUACAGCCCUAGUCCCAGUCUGAAAACUGGACAGCCAGGGGACCGGAUGGUCCCCAGGUUUGGCACACGGUGUGUGAAUGCAUAGAUGAAGCUGGCCCAAGAACGAAGAAGGUGAUGCUGGCCAGGGAAGAUGCUGAGUUCUAGAGUCCUGCCGUGGAAAGUCUACAACGGCCUCGUUCCAAAAAGAAGGAUGUAUGAAUGUGUGGUAAAACCAUAGGGAAAAUCAAGGAAAUCAUUACCACAGAUGUCAGCAUCAUGGUUACCUCAGAAAGAGGAGGAAAAUACACUUAUGAGAGACACCAGGAGACUUCUAAGUGGAAUGCCAUCAGAGACGAUCUGGUCCAAGACAUGAUUUUACAGAUGGGGACACCAAGGACCAGAAAGGUGAAGCGAGUAACCCAGACCCUCCAAUGUGUCAGCUAUUAUUCACCAGCAUCUCAUGGUUGGGGAAGCAGCUUCAUCCAGCUCUUCACUAGUGGGACUGACUCACUGAGUCUCUCUUCCGGAGCCUAGGUGGCCAGGUGUAGGGAUUGCGAAAGAGCCUAGGCCAGUAGGACAAAAGUGAUGUCAUCCUUCUUCCCAGCCCAUCCUCUGCUGCCUGCAACCUUAGGUUAAAACACCUGUCUUAUUUAUGCAUGAUGUUAGCCUGUGACACCUUAAGAAACCUGACAGCAACCAGAACUCUCAAGAGCUGCUGGUGGGGGUACAAACUGGUACAGCUUCUUUGGAAAAAAGCCAGGCCGUAUCUCCUAAGGCUAAACAUUCACCUACUCUAUGACCCAGCAAUUCCACUCCUAGGUGUAGGUCCAAGAGAAAGGAGUGUUUAUGUCCAAGAAG
ensembl:lncRNA